AGUACGUGUGACGAGGACGUAAUUUAUAUAAAAUAUUUCAAAGUAACGUUCAAUCGUUUGUUUUGAUUUCGAGAAGAAUCGAAGAUCCCGAGACCAAAUCGAAGAUCUCGGGUUUGAGGAGGGAGACUGGCCAGCCAGAGGAGUCUUCGAUGACGUCAGAAGCUAUCUUUAAACUCGGCAUCAACCGCGACUCAGAGACUACGGGAGGCGUGUACUCCCACCACCAUGAUGACAUACGGUCACGUUUUAUUUGUCAUCUGGCUGAGCGCUGAGCGUGCGACCGCCGCGAGAUAUAUGUUGUGCAUAUACAUACGUAUGUCAAAGAUGCACGAGCGAAUUCUCUCCAUCGUCGUCACAUUAAUCAUAUCCCGUUUCAACAUUGUAAAGUCAAAUCAAUGACCACGAGUCAGAAGUCCACGGAGCAGGAAAGUUCAGUUCGCCGAAGAGUUUGCACCAUUGACUUCGAGACUUUCACCGAGACGCCAUCUUGCUCCGAGGAUAAUUUUGGAACGAAGGGACGAGAGUUCCUUAGCAUAAAGGAGUCGCACAUCAUGGCAAAACUAGUUCGGGCAUCCAGUUUUUCCACUCUCGAGCGCUACACCAGCUCCAAGCGCACCGAUCUUGCCUCCUGCCUUCCUACUACGUUCGGAUCCCGCAACU